rnacentral:rRNA from 1 species
AGCGAACGCUGGCGGCAGGCCUAACACAUGCAAGUCGAACGAAGUCUUCGGACUUAGUGGCGGACGGGUGAGUAACACGUGGGAACGUGCCUUUAGGUUCGGAAUAACUCAGGGAAACUUGUGCUAAUACCGAAUGUGCCCUUCGGGGGAAAGAUUUAUCGCCUUUAGAGCGGCCCGCGUCUGAGUCGCUAGCUGGUGAGGUUAAGGCUCACCAAGGCUACGAACAGUAGCUGGUCUGAGAGGUUGACCAGCCACAUUGGGCCUGAGACACGGGCCACAGUCCGAGGAGAGGAAGCGGUGGGGUAUCUUGGGCAAUGGGCGAAAGCCUGACGGAGAGAUGCGGCGUGGUUGAUGAAGGUCUUAGGAUUGUAAAAUCCUUUCCCCGGUGAAGAUAAUGACUGUAGCCGGAGAAGAAGCCCCGGCUAACUUCGUGCCAGCCGCCGCGGUAAAAC